CCGCAUUUACUUCUUCAUUUCUCCAUUUGAUGACACGUCGAGAAGCUCACUAAGUUGGCAAUGAAUAUGUGGACGGAAGAUUCAAUUGGAUCCGAGAGGGCAAAAGGAAGUUUAAGCAAUGCGGGGUGGUGAACAUGAGAAGUCCUUCCCAAAACAAACAAUCGGUUUUUUGAAAUCUGUUAAUCCAGCUAAUCUCGAGGGAACAUUUACAAAACUAAGCAACUGGAAUCGUCCUCACAUGGCAGGGCAGAAAGUGAUGGCGUAACGUGAAACCUUACAUUUACGGAGGCUGGAAGGGUCGUCAAAAGCAUAGGUGUAAGCCUUGGGGCACAUGGCUUUGAAUAAAUGAGCAAAUAGCGUAGGCCUGCAGGUUUUGGGGUUUGCAUACUUCCCUGUGCAGCAGUACUUGGCUGAUUGCAUGGCUAAGCAGGCGCUCUUGCACCCCACCACUUUUCCAUUUUUCUUCACCUCCAAUUUGGAUGGACAGAAAAUGUUCACAUCAAUAUCACAAGACGCAAUGCCACAGCCAAUUCCACCCCCAAUUGGCUUCAUUGAAAGAGGCAAGUUGAAGCCAUCUACCAAGCUAACAUCAUAAUAAUGCAAGGGUGAAAUAGAUGAUCCCAGAGUUACUUCAACAAUAGUUGCUGGAGGAACACCAGCUGUGCCUCUACAAUGUAAUCGUCCUGAACAAUCUCCUGUAUCACACGAGCCUUUACCUUCAUGGCUAAAAGAACAGCCUUGUCUUCCCCAAAUCCUCCCUGACCACUUCUUUGGCACUUCAACCACUACGUGCUUGCCUCUGCCAAGAUGAAAACCACCAUCCAUUGGCGUAUUGUGGCCCGAAUUGCCGAGUAAUCCAGGCCAGACACUUUCAUUACAGUUGUUUACUAAAAUUAGCUGUUCUCCACCUGCAAGCACAGAAAAACUUUCAGUAUGAAGUGAAUAGGAAAGAUUGAAGGAAGAAAUGUUUGGAGGUGCUUAUUCACUUGUAAGUGAGAUGGAGGUUGCCAAACAGAAGAUGAGAAACAGACAGGAAUGCAUGAUCUGAAACUUAUGAACAGGCUUGCAAAUGGUGAUGAAAAUUCUGAACAUCUAUUUUGUGGUCUGAUUUUGAUUGACAGAUUUGGAAAGAGAGCAAUUAUUUAAAGGCUCCAUUGCUCUAGUUUUUCCCCUAGUUUAUACUCCUACUUUCACUUUCACUAUAAAGGGAUUUAUCCAUUCCUUCAAA